AAAUGCUUGUCAAAGGAGUGAGGAAAAAGACAGAACAAUGAAUAAAAAUCAGUCCACCAACGUUGCCCUUGUUAUUCUAACAAAACGUGUACGAAUAAAAAACGGAAGCUUUUAGCUCUCUGGCUCGUCGUGAGCAUGCGCAGAACGUCACUGGCUUUCCGCUGGCUUGCGUCACGGCCAGGUUGCGUCCCUUGGGGCUGUCAAACACGUCUGGGUCGCCCCACAUAAUGACAUUAAAAAAGGUUCUUCUUGGA